GGGUCGACGGCGUAGCUGGUUAUCGCAUCUGUCUAACAUGGAACUGAUGUACUGGUGCACAGAAGGUCCCCAGUUCGAAUCUGGGUCGACUCA